ensembl:lncRNA
AAAUAAUGCAAAAAGACCAUUUUUCAUAAGAAUAAAAGAGCUUACAACCAAAAAAGGCUUGCAACUUAUUGCUUUAUGCUUGCCCCUGGAUCCCUGAAAUGCUGUACUUGUCUUUCCUCCCAUGUCCUUGCAGUCAGUGCCCAAGGGCUGUCUGACCUAUAGAUUGAGACAAGAUUAUGGUAGGUUGUCUUGACUCUCUCUCCUUCCCUGGUCUCCUCAACUCCCAUCCCUUCUUUAUGGUUUCUUCUCCAUCUCUGUAGGGACCUCCUUAAAAAAGAGAUGGGCUUGUCAUGGCUAAGGUCUAGAAGCUAGCAGUUCUAGAAUGAUGUGAACAUAUUUGGUUUACUUUACAGAACUGUAUUGGUAAGCUUUGCCAUGUUAGAGAAAUUACAAUAAUAUAAUCUCUAGGCCUUUUCUUUCCAGUUUUUCCUUUAAAUGUAAUCUUCUUCCACUAGAAUGUUAGCUUCUUAGCUGCUAGAUGCUCAGUGGAUAGAGCAAAUGGAUAGUGUUGGGAUGACCUGAGUUCAACACUGACCUCAGACUCUUCCUACCUGUGUGACCCUGGGAAAGCCACUUAACGCCAAUUGCCUAGCCCUUGGCACUCUUCUGUCCUAGAAUUAAUACCAAGACUGAAGGUAAGGGUUUAAAAAGAAAAGAAUGUAAGUUCCUUGAGCUUAUAUUGUCUUCUAUGUUUUUAUGCUGUCUUUUAUGUAUUUAUGUCCCUAACCCUUAGGAUGGUGCCUCGCACAUAGUAAGCCUUUCAUAAAAAUUUAUUGAAAAUGUUAUUUGAGGCAACUAAGUGGAACAACUUAUUUGAGGGAACUAAGUGAAUAGAGUGCCAGACCUACAGUCAAGAAGACCUGAGUUCAAAUGCUGCUUCAGCCACUUACUAGCUUUGUGACCCAGGGUAACCAUCUAAAAGGAAAGCAGUCUGAGGUCUCCUACAAGAGCUCCUCCAGGGGUCGAAUUCCACAGCCAAGUGUCUUCACUCCAAGUCUGGGUGUCUAUUUUCCAGUCUCUCCUCAAGUGACUCUUCUUCACUCCUUUAUGUACCCACAGGCAAAUGACUUAAAUUCUUAGUUCUCCAUGUAGACAAUUUUCCAAGAUGAAAUUACAUAGAAAUUGCUAGAUUUACAUCAGUGGAAGGACUUUCCUAUACCUAUGAAAUAACGAGUUUGGAACAAAUAUCUUUCUGUCUUCCUGUCUUUCUAUCUACAUAUCGGUGUAUCUAUGUAUCCAUAUAUUUGUUUGUCUGUUCACCCAUCCAUCUGUCCAUCCAUCCAUCUAUCUACCUAUCUCACCAUGUUCUCUCUCUCCUUUCCCUCUGUUUUUCUGUUUGUGUGUGCAUAUGUCUAACUGUCCAUCUAUCUAUAUAUCUUUGUAUUAUUAACAAAAGGACUUUUCCCACCUCCACUAAAAAUUGUCUGGACAGCUAGGUGGCACAGGGAAUUGUGUACUGAACCUGAAGUCAAGAACACUCAUCUUCCUGAGUUCAACUCUGACUUCAGACAUUUACUAGCCAUGUGACACUGGGCAAGCUACUUCACCCUGUUUGCCUCCGUUUUCUCAUCUGUCCAAUGAACUGGAGAAGGAAAUGGCAAACUACUCCAGUAUCUUUGCCAAGAAAACCCCACACGGGGUCACAAAGAGUGGGACAUAUCUGAAAUGACUAAACAAUAGACUCUCAUCACUUCAUGCCCAGGCUAUUGCAAUAGCCUUUUGGCUUCCUUUCCCUGUUAGAAUGAAAACUGAACAACAACAACAAUUGUCUUUUAAUAAUCUGCUUUUAUUUUUGGAGUAAUAAUUUCUAUGUCUAAAGUUCAACCAAUAGCAAAAAAGAAAAAAAAAACCUCUAAUAGUUAAUCCCUUACAAGGGGUCAUUUGACCUUCUUUCAGAAACCCAUUGAUGGGAAGCUCAUUACUUCUCUAGGCCAUUCAUUCCACUUUUGGAUAGUUCCAUGUUAGAUGCCUCUCUCAUAUUGGAUACUAUGGCUCUAUUAAUACAGAUCACAUUAGAUAUUUUGGCUGCCAUAUUAUACUGUUGACUUAGUAUGAGCUUGGGGUCCACUAAAACUUUCCAGAUUUUUUUCAAUAUGAGCUGUUAUUUAGCUCUGCUUUUCAUUUCUUAUACUUAUAAAGUUGAUUUUUAAACUUAAAUAUAGACAUUCACAUUUAUCUCUAUAAAAUUUCAUUUUUUUUUCUAUUUUGCCCAAUGUUCUAGCCUAUCAAAGUAUUUUUGGAUAAUAAACUUUGGCAUCCAACAUGUUACCUAUUCCA